rnacentral:rRNA from 1 species
AUGGAAGGUUUGAAACCAUCAGUCAGGCUUGCAGUAGGCAUUCAGCAACCCGUCGACUUGGAUUCUGCUUACCAGCUUGCUUUGUUGCAUGAGGAAUUGGGGUCUGGUUCCACACCAUCAAUUGUGGCUACUCCGUUUCAGCGAAGAUCUUCUGCUCUUCCCCUUCCACCACCACCAGUUUCCAGUGGGAAUCAGUCUGCCAAGCGAUCCUCAGAUGAGCAUCGACCUCCUGUUGCUAGUUCUUCUGCAGACAAAUGGGGAGCCCUGCGUUCCUACCGAAGAUCUAAGGGUCUCUGCUUUACCUGUGGAGAAAAAUGGGGAAAGGAUCAUGUUUGUCGACAAGAAGUGCAACUUCACAUAGUACAAGAGAUGAUUGAAUUUAUGCAAAAUUCAGAAGAUUCAGAAACAGACAGUUACAGUACACAGCAUGAGGUUCACAUGUUAGCAAUUUCAGCAGCAGCUCUGGGUGGAAAGGAUGAUGUCUCAGUCAGAACAAUGCAACUCAAGGUUCAGUUGCAAGGCCUAAAUCUCACAGUUCUUGUUGACUCAGGGAGUACACACUCAUUUCUGGAUACUUCUCUAGCUUCUAAACUGCAAGAUCUGUCUCCAUUACAAAGGGUUUCAGUUAAAAUGGCCAAUGGAGCCACAGUUUCCUGUCAUCAGCAGUUACUGAGUGGAAUGUGGUCUUGUUCUGGACACAAGUUUAGCUGCGAUUUCAAAUUGUUUCCUCUGGGUAGUUAUGAUGGCAUAAUUAGGCUUGAUUGGCUGUCAGCACAUAGCCCUAUGCUAGUCGACUGGGAAAACCAUUGGUUAUCAUUUUCUCAUAUGGGAUCUGAGAUCACUCUUCUGGGUUCAGCAGUAACUCUUCCUCAAAUAGCUAUGCUACACUUCUGUUCCCUGCUCACUACCGAGAACCUCCCAAUUCUUCCUGAAGUGCAAUCUGUUUUGGAUCAAUUCAAGGAAGUUUUUGAACCUCCUACUGGUCUCCCACCCAGACGUGCCUAUGAUCACACUAUCCCACUUAUACCCGGU